UACGUAGGGUCCAAGCGUUGUCCGGAUUUAUUGGGCGUAAAGAGCUCGUAGGCGGUUCCGUAAGUCGGAUGUGAAAACUCGGGGCUCAACCCCGAGACGCCAUCCGAUACUGCGGUGACUUGAGUCUGGUAGGGGGAACACGGAAUUCCUGGUGUAGCGGUGAAAUGCGCAGAUAUCAGGAGGAACACCGAUGGCGAAGGCAGUGUUCUGGGCCAGUACUGACGCUGGAGGAGCGAAAGCGUGGGGAGCGAACAGG
rnacentral:rRNA from 1 species